rnacentral:lncRNA from 1 species
ACAAGUCUACAUACAAGCAAUAAAUUCAUCAAUCUAUCUCAAUAUCAGAAAUACUCUUACAGAACCAAAUCAGAUUUUCGGAUCAUCCUUCUAAGAGUAUUACAAACUACAAUCUCUCAUUCUCUUAAGUUUGAAAGUUGUAAUUAGAUCCAAAAAUCAAAUCUCAUUUUGAUUGUAUAUCACCAAGCCUGUAAAAACUUGAGUGAUACUGUAAGCUUGCUGAAGCUAAUAAUAUCAGUGGUGUAAGUCUGGUGAGGCUUGGAGAAUACAUAGUUGUUUUAGCCUCAAGCUCAGCGAGAGCUCGAGAGUUAGUGUAAGCCUGGUGAGGCUUAGAGAAUACAUAUUGUUUUGCACAUUGCAAAGAGGAGGAAGAAACUUCUAAGAACUA